UGUCUGGGAAACUGCCUGAUGGAGGGGGAUAACUACUGGAAACGGUGGCUAAUACCGCAUAACGUCGCAAGACCAAAGAGGGGGACCUUCGGGCCUCUUGCCAUCAGAUGUGCCCAGAUGGGAUUAGCUUGUUGGUGAGGUAACGGCUCACCAAGGCGACGAUCCCUAGCUGGUCUGAGAGGAUGACCAGCCACACUGGAACUGAGACACGGUCCAGACUCCUACGGGAGGCAGCAGUGGGGAAUAUUGCACAAUGGGCGCAAGCCUGAUGCAGCCAUGCCGCGUGUAUGAAGAAGGCCUUCGGGUUGUAAAGUACUUUCAGCGGGGAGGAAGGUGUUGUGGUUAAUAACCGCAGCAAUUGACGUUACCCGCAGAAGAAGCACCGGCUAACUCCGUGCCAGCAGCCGCGGUAAUACGGAGGGUGCAAGCGUUAAUCGGAAUUACUGGGCGUAAAGCGCACGCAGGCGGUCUGUCAAGUCGGAUGUGAAAUCCCCGGGCUCAACCUGGGAACUGCAUUCGAAACUGGCAGGCUUGAGUCUUGUAGAGGGGGGUAGAAUUCCAGGUGUAGCGGUGAAAUGCGUAGAGAUCUGGAGGAAUACCGGUGGCGAAGGCGGCCCCCUGGACAAAGACUGACGCUCAGGUGCGAAAGCGUGGGGAGCAAACAGGAUUAGAUACCCUGGUAGUCCACGCCGUAAACGAUGUCUACUUGGAGGUUGUGCCCUUGAGGCGUGGCUUCCGGAGCUAACGCGUUAAGUAGACCGCCUGGGGAGUACGGCCGCAAGGUUAAAACUCAAAUGAAUUGACGGGGGCCCGCACAAGCGGUGGAGCAUGUGGUUUAAUUCGAUGCAACGCGAAGAACCUUACCUGGUCUUGACAUCCACGGAAGUUUUCAGAGAUGAGAAUGUGCCUUCGGGAACCGUGAGACAGGUGCUGCAUGGCUGUCGUCAGCUCGUGUUGUGAAAUGUUGGGUUAAGUCCCGCAACGAGCGCAACCCUUAUCCUUUGUUGCCAGCGGUCCGGCCGGGAACUCAAAGGAGACUGCCAGUGAUAAACUGGAGGAAGGUGGGGAUGACGUCAAGUCAUCAUGGCCCUUACGACCAGGGCUACACACGUGCUACAAUGGCGCAUACAAAGAGAAGCGACCUCGCGAGAGCAAGCGGACCUCAUAAAGUGCGUCGUAGUCCGGAUUGGAGUCUGCAACUCGACUCCAUGAAGUCGGAAUCGCUAGUAAUCGUGGAUCAGAAUGCCACGGUGAAUACGUUCCCGGGCCUUGUACACACCGCCCGUCACACCAUGGGAGUGGGUUGCAAAAGAAGUAGGUAGCUUAACCUUCGGGAGGGCGCUUACCACUUUGUGAUUCAUGACUGGGGUGAAGUCGUAACAAGGUAACCGUAGGGGAACCUGC
rnacentral:rRNA from 1 species